UCUGCUUCCUCCCUAGUCUGUUCUGCAGGCAAAGGUCUUCCCGCCCCAGGCAGUGCCUCAGGCCUUCACUUGGCAAUCCCAAAUGAGUCACCUAAACUGAACAAAGAAGAUUCCUAAUCUCACAGCCUGGAUCCCAGCUCACUGCCACUACUGGAAAUGAGUGCCACUCCUGGACCUAACCCUCAUUAAGCCUGCAGUUCUUCAUACUGUCCACAAAGAGAUGAUGGGAGACUUCACAAAAAUGCCCUGCUGACAUCAGGAUUCACCCCGGGAAAAAGGACACGAGUCUAUUUGACAUAAAGCACAUGCAUAAACACACAAGGACAAAUAGGACAUUUACACGUUACAACUUAAAUGAGUACAAGAAAAGAAACAAAAAAGCAGUGUCCAGGUAAAAAGUGAAGGUGGCAGGAAGACAACGAGUUGAUGACUGCGUGGGCUGAGAAAGAGCGGUGCAUUUCAGGCCACUGACUUGGUUCGGUGGCCUGAAUGUUCAGGUCCUCCUAAGAUUCUUACGUUUGAAUCCUAACCCACAGGGUAGUAGGAAUGUGGAGACUUGGGGAAGUACUAAUAAUUAGGACAUGACUGUUGAGCCCUGGUGAAUAGGAUGAGUGCCGUUAUAAAUGGUACCCCAGAGAACAAUUUUGUCCUACAGCGAGAAACCAGAAGUCUGCAACUGGCUGAGACUAAGAACCUGACCAUGUUGGCACCGUGAUCUCAGACUUUCAGACUCUAGACCGUAAGAAAUAAA